CCAGCAGCCGCGGUAAUUCCAGCUCCUGUAGCGUACACUAAAGUUGUUGCAGUUAAAAAGCUCGUAGUCGGAUUUCUGGGCGCGUCAGACACACUGUGUACCCAUCGUGGUCACGGCUGUUCGUCGCGUAUGCGCCCAUCUUGCCGCAAACUGCUCUGGCCUUCACUGGUCGGGGUUCUUCAGGGAGCGGCUCGUUUACUUUGAGAAAAAUAGAGUGCUCAAAGCAGGCAACUGCCUUGAAUAAGUUAGCAUGGAAUAAUGGAAUAGGACUUUGGUUCUAUUUCGUUGGUUUGUUCGAGAACCGAAGUAAUGAUUGAUAGGGAUGGUUGGGGGCAUCGGUAUUCUAAAGCGAGAGGUGAAAUUCAUGGACCUUUGGAAGACCAACUACUGCGAAAGCAUU
rnacentral:rRNA from 1 species